GACGAACGCUGGCGGCAUGCCUUACACAUGCAAGUCGAACGGCAGCACGGGUGCUUGCACCUGGUGGCGAGUGGCGAACGGGUGAGUAAUACAUCGGAACGUACCUUAUCGUGGGGGAUAACGCAGCGAAAGCUGUGCUAAUACCGCAUACGCCCUGAGGGGGAAAGCGGGGGAUCGAAAGACCUCGCGCGAUUAGAGCGGCCGAUGCCUGAUUAGCUUGUUGGUGGGGUAAAAGCCCACCAAGGCGACGAUCAGUAGCUGGUCUGAGAGGACGAUCAGCCACACGGGGACUGAGACACGGCCCAGACUCCUACGGGAGGCAGCAGUGGGGAAUUUUGGACAAUGGGGGCAACCCUGAUCCAGCAAUGCCGCGUGAGUGAAGAAGGCCUUCGGGUUGUAAAGCUCUUUUGUCAGGGAAGAAACACCGGCUCUAACACAGUCCGGGAAUGACGGUACCUGAAGAAUAAGCACCGGCUAACUACGUGCCAGCCGCCGCCGUAA
rnacentral:rRNA from 1 species